rnacentral:ncRNA from 2 species
AGAUGGGGUAGAGGAGCGGGUUUUAAGAGUAAGCGCUUGGAGGAUGACAACGAGGAUAAGCGCCGAAAGGAAAACUCGCCGAAGCGGAAGAUGAGUCAAGCGUCUUCUUGCUGGGGUUGCAUUGAAUAAAUGUAACACUGUCACAGCAGAUUGCUGUGGAGAACUACUAACGUU